AUUGAACGCUGGCGGCAGGCCUAACACAUGCAAGUCGGACGGUAGCACAGAGGAGCUUGCUCCUCGGGUGACGAGUGGCGGACGGGUGAGUAAUGUCUGGGGAUCUGCCCGAUAGAGGGGGAUAACCACUGGAAACGGUGGCUAAUACCGCAUAACGUCGCAAGACCAAAGAGGGGGACCUUCGGGCCUCUCACUAUCGGAUGAACCCAGAUGGGAUUAGCUAGUAGGCGGGGUAACGGCCCACCUAGGCGACGAUCCCUAGCUGGUCUGAGAGGAUGACCAGCCACACUGGAACUGAGACACGGUCCAGACUCCUACGGGAGGCAGCAGUGGGGAAUAUUGCACAAUGGGCGCAAGCCUGAUGCAGCCAUGCCGCGUGUAUGAAGAAGGCCUUCGGGUUGUAAAGUACUUUCAGCGGGGAGGAAGGCGAUGUGGUUAAUAACCGCAUUGAUUGACGUUACCCGCAGAAGAAGCACCGGCUAACCCCGUGCCAGCAGCCGCAGUAA
rnacentral:rRNA from 1 species